AGCGUGCGGUCGGGGUCCUCGCACUUUGCUGGGCAUCAGGAUGACCUGGAGAGCUUGUUAAAAAGCAGAUUCCCAGGCCACCCCCACCCGAGAUUCCGAUGUAAUAGCAGGUGGAGAAUAUGUGUUUUUAGCAAACACCUCAGGGGAGUCUGAUGAAGUCUCACCACCCUCUGCGAUACACGGCUUUAACGCAAAGAGUGUUUGCUUCUGAGACUGACAGAAAAGCACAUUAACAUUUCCCAAGAGCAGACUGGUAGCAGGAGGGGAAACAGGCAGAGAUGCAAACAGCUCGGGAGAUGAGAGCAUGGGGGCUGAACCCAGGCCUUAAAACCCUUGCGAGGAACUAGUGUGUCGGGAGACUUGACAGGCACACUGAUCUCUGCCACGUGAGGCCACGGGGGUUGGGUGUGGCACAGCCCUGGACAACCUCUAGGUCACACAUGACUCAGUAAAAUGGCUCUGGUCCUGGGAGAAGGCUGUGAUGGACAGUGCUAGAUGCCCGUGAGGGCUAACCAACACCAGGCCCGGGCGGCAUGACCCAGCACUCGACUCCACACCGUUUACAACCAACGUGUGGUAUCCCCUCCGCAAGGAGCUUCCUGGCCAGACCCGGUCCUGCCCUGCCCCGGAGGACCCCCCACGCUGUGGUCUGACCUCUGGAACAGCUGUGGCAUCCACCACAGCCCUUCAUUCUCCCCUGCAAGGCCACCAGGAGAGAGACGGUAUAAGGUGGAGAUUAAGAAGAGCAUGGACUCUGGGGCCAGACCGUUUGGAUUCAAAUUUUGGCUCCAUCACUGACUGUGUGACCCCACGUGAGACCGUCGGCCCCAGGAUGCCCCAGGGGUGUGGAUGACCGGCUGCCCAGGCCCGGAUGCCGCCGCCCCGCGAGGGCCGCUCCCCGAGGGCCGCCGGUGGCCCUGCGCCCUAGCCUCCCGACCCGGGGACUCCGCGCGCCCCGCCCCCGCCUGGCCGCCCAGGAGAGCGGGAGCCGCGGGAGGGAGCCUCCCGAGCCCACCGAGCGAGCGGCCACGGCGCAGGGAUCCGGGGGCAGGGGCUCAGCGCCGGCC